ACCCUCCAACCUAUGGUUUAUUGAAUAUCCACUUUAGUACCGUGUGAUUUACAGAAUUUUUAUUUUAGUACCCUGUGGUUUUAACUUUGCCACUGAUUUAACGAAAAAAUUAACUGAGAGGAUAACGGAAAGAGAAAAAUGAGACCACAGAGUAUGAAAAUAAUACGUUUUAAACCACAGAAUACUAGAGUUAAAAAGUGUGAAACCAAAAGGAUGGUAUUUGAAGUUUUUUCUAUUUUAAAUUCUGGAAUGUCACACUAUAAGAGAGAGAGAGAGAGAGAGAGAGAGAGAGAGAUCUACACACUUAUAUAAGUUCUUGUUUUAUUCUAGGGAAAUAAGAAUCCAACAAAAAGAGUACAAAAUUUUGACACAUUUGAGACAAGGCAUUUUCAUUUUUUGUCAUGAUAAUGAUUGAGCCACGUAAGAUCUACAAGAUCCAGCAUUUGAGACCUUUGUGUAGCUUUGAACACCAUGCAUAAGUUUCAAAACCAAUUUUUAUCAUCAAAUUAAUGUAAAAUCUUAUACAACUUAUCCGAACCAUAAAUUGAUUUAACUCAUAGAUCUAAUCUUUUAAAAUUUUGAUUUUAUUAUCAAAACCUUCAAUUUAUUUGAUUUGAGUCAGCUAACAAUACUUUGACUUAAUAAACUUAUAGCCGUGAAAAAUGUAUAAAACAUACUAACUAAAUCAAUAAAAAUAAACAACAUAUUUAAAUUUUGAAAUUAAAGUGUCAUUGACUUACUCAGAUUAAAUAAAUAAAAAAAAUAGAUAGUAAAAUAAUUUUUUUAAAAAAAAUUAAGUAAUCAAUUCAAAAUAAUUUGUAGUUCAUAUAAGUUCUGUACAUUUUUACCUCAAAUUAAUUUUAACUGAGGAUCUAAAUUAAUUUUCUUGUUCUUAUUUUUU
rnacentral:lncRNA from 1 species